rnacentral:tRNA from 1 species
CAGGGAGACAACAAAAUGUUUAAUAUUAUUAUUUUGUCACCUUAGGUCGAUCGGUAUCUCACAUUCUUAAUUUAUUGAGGAUUUCAUUUCCUAAGUUUUUCUAGGUCACACCCAUUAUUUUCCUGGGCCAUUAGCUCAGGUGGUUAGAGCGCACCCCUGAUAAGGGUGAGGUCCCUGGUUCAAGUCCAGGAUGGCCCAUAUCUCUAUGUUGGGGGUAUAGCUCAGUUGGUAGAGCGCCUGCUUUGCAAGCAGGAUGUCAGCGGUUCGAGUCCGCUUACCUCCACUGAUUACCACCUCUUCCAUUAUUUGUAGAAAGGAAAAUUUUUGUUGUGAUCAUAAUUCUGAACGAAUCUAGCUUCCUAAUGAAACCAUUAAGAUGCUGGACUCAUUGAAUUAAUUUCAUUGUUUUCAGAGAACCUUGACAACUGCAUAGAUUAUUUUUAAAGACAAUAAGCAUCUUUAAUGAUGCAGAUUUAUUAUUUGUGCAAAUGCAUUAAUAACAAUUCUAUUAAGCUGAUGCUUCAAUUUUGAAGUUAUU